rnacentral:rRNA from 1 species
CGGGAAAAGCUCAAAUUUGAAAUCUGGCAGUCUAUUUUUUCUUCUUUGGCUGUCCGAGUUGUAAUCUAGAGAAGUGCUUACCUGCACUGGACCAUGUAUAAGUCUCCUGGAAUGGAGCGUCGCAGAGGGUGAGAAUCCCGUCUUUGACAUGGACUGCCAGUGUGUUGUGGUGUGCUCUCAAAGAGUCGAGUUGUUUGGGAAUGCAGCUCUAAAUGGGUGGUAAACUCCAUCUAAAGCUAAAUAUUGGCGAGAGACCGAUAGCGAACAAGUACCGUGAGGGAAAGAUGAAAAGGACUUUGGAAAGAGAGUUAAACAGUAUGUGAAAUUGUUGAAAGGGAAACGCUUGAAGUCAGUUAUGUUGGCUAGGGAUCAACCUAGCUGUCUUUUGCUGGGUGAAUUUCCUAGUCUGACAGGCCAACAUCAGUCUUGACUGCUGGAAAAGAGCAGAGGGAAUGUGGCACCUUCGGGUGUGUUAUAGCCCUUUGUCAUAUGUGGCGGUUGGGACUGAGGGAUGCAGCGUGCCGCGAGGCUGGGUUUCGACCACGUUCACGCUUAGGAUGUU